rnacentral:snRNA from 1 species
AGCUUUGUGCAGUGGCAGUAUUGUAACCAAUGAGGUUUAUCUGAGGUGCAAUUAUUGCUAAUUGAAAACUUUUCCCAAUACCCCGCCAUGACGACUUGAAAUAUAGUCAGCAUUGGCAAUUUUUGACAGUCUCUAUGGAGA